GUACACGCUGUGACUAGCAUAUCAAUAAGCGGAGGAAAAGAAACUAACAAGGAUUCCCCUAGUAACGGCGAGUGAAGCGGGAAGAGCUCAAAUUUGAAAUCUUAAAGGGUUUCCCUUUACGAAUUGUAGUUUAAAGAAGUGUUUUCUGUUGAGGUUUUGGUAAAAGUUCUUUGGAAUAGGACAUCAUAGAGGGUGAGGAUCCCGUAUUUGACCUUUACUUUCAACUUUGUGAUACACUUUCAAAGAGUCGGAUUGUUUGGGAAUGCAGUCCAAAAUGGGUGGUAAAUUUCAUCUAAAGCUAAAUAUUGGCGAGAGACCGAUAGCGAACAAGUACCGUGAGGGAAAGAUGAAAAGAACUUUGAAAAGAGAGUUAAACAGUACGUGAAAUUGUCAAAAGGGAAGCGUUUGACACCAGCGUUGUUUUUCUGAAAAUCAAUUAAAGAACUGUUUAUGCUAAGUUGUUUAGACUUUAUCAGCUAUCUGCUUAGUUUUGAGCUUUUCUUUAAUGCACUUUUCAGUUAACAAGUCAACAUCAAUUUCUUUUGCUGUAAAAAAGCUUGAGGAAGGUGGCUUGAGAUUCGUCUUAAGUGUUUAUAGCCUCUUGCCUAUGCAGUCGGAGAGAUUGAGGUCUGCAGCGUAGAUCCUUCGGGGCUAAAUGCAUUUGUGCUAAGUUAUAGCAUUUCAUAGACAACUUGUUGACUAUGAUUUGUCUUGUAGCUUACUCGCUUAUGUUAUUUUACCUACGCUUAGGAUGUUGACGAGACUGUCGAUCUCAUCUAUACAUGACUCUGUGCAUAUCAAUAAGCGGAGGAAAAGCGCAUUAAAGAUCCAGAUACCUACGCUUAGGAUGUUGACGAGACUGUCGAUCUC
rnacentral:rRNA from 1 species